rnacentral:tRNA from 1 species
UUAACUGAAACCAAAUUAGAGGUAUAUUAUUGUUAAUAAUAAAAUUGAAAUAAAUUCCAGUUAAG